rnacentral:rRNA from 1 species
UACGUAGGGGGCAAGCGUUGUCCGGAAUCAUUGGGCGGAAAGCGCGUGUAGGCGGCCCGGUAAGUCCGCUGUGAAAGUCCAGGGCUCAACCCUGGAAUGCCGGUGGAUACUGUCGGGCUCGAGUCCGGAAGAGGCGAGUGGAAUUCCUGGUGUAGCGGUGAAAUGCGCAGAUAUCAGGAGGAACACCAAUGGCGAAGGCAGCUCGCUGGGACGGUACUGACGCUGAGACGCGAAAGCGUGGGGAGCAAACAGG